rnacentral:rRNA from 1 species
CCUACGGGUGGCUGCAGUGGGGAAUAUUGCACAAUGGGGGGAACCUUGAUGCAGCAACGCCGCGUGGGUGAAGAAGUACUCCGGUAUGUAAAGCCCUGUCAGCAGGGAAGAAAAUGACGGUACCUGACCAAUAAGCCCCGGCUAACUACGUGCCAGCAGCCGCGGUAAUUCGUAGGGGGCAAGCGUUAUCCGGAUUUACUGGGUGUAAAGGGAGCGUAGACGGCAAGGCAAGUCUGGAGGGAAAGCCCGGGGCCCAACCACGGGACGGCUUUGGAAACUGGGUUGCUGGAGUGCAGGAGGGGUAAGCGGAAUUCCUGGUGUAGCGGUGAAAUGCAUAGAUAUUAGGAAGAACACCGGUGGCGAAGGCGGCUUACUGGACUUUAACUGACGUUGAGGCUCGAAGGCGUGGGGAGCAAACAGGAUUAGAUACCCUAGUAGUC